rnacentral:tRNA from 1 species
GGAGGGAUACCCAAGUGGCCAAAGGGGGCUGACUGUAAAUCAGCUGUCGCACGACUUCGGUGGUUCGAAUCCACCUCCCUCCACCA